AGAGUUAAACAGUACGUGAAAUUGUUGAAAGGGAAACGAUUGAAGUCAGUCAUACCAACGGGAAAUCAACCUUUUGAGCUCGGUCUCGUGGGUUUUGAAGAGUUUCAAAGCCUUCGGAUUCGCGGGAUUGGGAUCUCUUGGUGUACUUUUUCGUACGGUUAGUCAACAUCGGUUUUGAAUGUCAUAAAAUGACUGGAGGAAUGUAGCUUCGAUCUCGUAUUGAAGUGUUAUAGCCUUUGGUAGAUGUGAUGUUUGAGACCGAGGAUUGCAACGGAUACCCUUCAGGGCUAUUCGUCUGAUCUCUGAUACGUUGCCUUGAUGUUGAAAGCUUGCUUAUGAUGUUAGGGUAUUACGGUCAAAAGGUUAGAACGAAUUACAUUCGUUAAGGAUGUUGACGUAAUGACUUUAAACGACC
rnacentral:rRNA from 1 species